rnacentral:rRNA from 1 species
ACAGAGGGUGCAAGCGUUGUUCGGAAUUAUUGGGCGUAAAGCGCGUGUAGGCGGCGUGGCAAGUCGGGUGUGAAAGCCCUCAGCUCAACUGAGGAAGUGCGCCCGAAACUGCUGUGCUUGAGUGCCGGAGAGGGUGGCGGAAUUCCCCAAGUAGAGGUGAAAUUCGUAGAUAUGGGGAGGAACACCGGUGGCGAAGGCGACCAUCUGGACGGAUACUGACGCUGAGACGCGAAAGCGUGGGUAGCAAACAGGA